rnacentral:rRNA from 1 species
UACAGAGGUCCCAAGCGUUGUUCGGAUUCACUGGGCGUAAAGGGUGCGCAGGUGGGUUGGCAAGUUCGAUGUGAAAGCCCCGGGCUUAACCCGGGAAUGGCAUUGGAAACUGCCUGAUCUGGAGGAUCGGAGGGGGACUGGAAUUCUUGGUGUAGCGUGAAUGCGUAGAUAUCAAGAGGAACACCAGUGGCGAAGGCGAGUCCCUGGACGAUACCUGACACUGAGGCACGAAAGCCAAGGGAGCAAACAGG